rnacentral:rRNA from 1 species
UACGAAGGGGGCUAGCGUUGCUCGGAAUCACUGGGCGUAAAGCGCACGUAGGCGGAUUGUUAAGUCAGGGGUGAAAUCCUGGAGCUCAACUCCAGAACUGCCUUUGAUACUGGCGAUCUUGAGUCCGGGAGAGGUGGGUGGAACUGCGAGUGUAGGGGUGAAAUUCGUAGAUAUUCGCAAGAACACCAGUGGCGAAGGCGGCUCACUGGCCCGGUACUGACGCUGAGGUGCGAAAGCGUGGGGAGCAAACAGG